GACGAACGCUGGCGGCGUGCUUAACACAUGCAAGUCGAACGGUAAGGCUCCAGCUUGCUGGGGUACACGAGUGGCGAACGGGUGAGUAACACGUGGGUGACCUGCCCUGCACUUCGGGAUAAGCCUGGGAAACUGGGUCUAAUACCGGAUAGGACCAUGGUGUGGAUACUGUGGUGGAAAGUUUUUUCGGUGUGGGAUGGGUCCGCGGCCUAUCAGCUUGUUGGUGGGGUAAUGGCCUACCAAGGCGGCGACGGGUAGCCGGCCUGGGAGGGUGGACGGCCACAUUGGGACUGAGACACGGCCCAGACUCCUACGGGAGGCAGCAGUGGGGAAUAUUGCACAAUGGGCGGAAGCCUGAUGCAGCGACGCCGCGUGGGGGAUGACGGCCUUCGGGUUGUAAACUCCUUUCACCAUCGACGAAGGGUUUCUGACGGUAGAUGGAGAAGAAGCACCGGCUAACUACGUG
rnacentral:rRNA from 1 species